GCAUUAAUGGGGUAGUGGUAACCUGGGUCGUUGCCAUUCCUGUAUAAUCAAGUUUGUCGACCCGCCGGGGGUUCGAUUCCCUCUUAAUGCA
rnacentral:tRNA from 1 species